rnacentral:rRNA from 1 species
GCAAGUCGAACGCGUUGGCCCAAUUGAUUGAUGGUGCUUGCACCUGAUUGAUUUUGGUCGCCAACGAGUGGCGGACGGGUGAGUAACACGUAGGUAACCUGCCCAGAAGCGGGGGACAACAUUUGGAAACAGAUGCUAAUACCGCAUAACAGCGUUGUUCGCAUGAACAACACUUAAAAGAUGGCUUCUCGCUAUCACUUCUGGAUGGACCUGCGGUGCAUUAGCUUGUUGGUGGGGUAACGGCCUACCAAGGCGAUGAUGCAUAGCCGAGUUGAGAGACUGAUCGGCCACAAUGGGACUGAGACACGGCCCAUACUCCUACGGGAGGCAGCAGUAGGGAAUCUUCCACAAUGGGCGCAAGCCUGAUGGAGCAACACCGCGUGAGUGAAGAAGGGUUUCGGCUCGUAAAGCUCUGUUGUUAAAGAAGAACACGUAUGAGAGUAACUGUUCAUACGUUGACGGUAUUUAACCACAAAGUCACGGCUAACUACGUGCCAGCAGCCGCGGUAAUACGUAGGUGGCAAGCGUUAUCCGGAUUUAUUGGGCGUAAAGAGAGUGCAGGCGGUUUUCUAAGUCUGAUGUGAAAGCCUUCGGCUUAACCGGAGAAGUGCAUCGGAAACUGGAUAACUUGAGUGCAGAAGAGGGUAGUGGAACUCCAUGUGUAGCGGUGGAAUGCGUAGAUAUAUGGAAGAACACCAGUGGCGAAGGCGGCUACCUGGUCUGCAACUGACGCUGAGACUCGAAAGCAUGCGUAGCGAACAGGAUUAGAUACCCUGGUAGUCCAUGCCGUAAACGAUGAGUGCUAGGUGUUGGAGGUUUCCGCCCUUCAGUGCCGUAGCUAACGCAUUAAGCACUCCGCCUGGGGAGUACGACCGCAAGGUUGAAACUCA